rnacentral:pre_miRNA from 1 species
AAUAAGCGUAGUUAUGGACAACAUUUGAUCAUCCGUCUUAUUUGAUUUUUUUAUUUGAUAUUUUUUUAUUUUUUCAUUGUUAUUAGAUGAUAAAAUAUGAAUAGUACUUUAUACGUGACUUAAUUUUUAUUUUUUUUAUAAAUUUUUUAAAUAAGACGAAUGAUCAAAAGUUUGUUUACUUGUGGCUGCAUUUAAA